UCAAACAAGGUCAACACAUAUAAAUUGCCUAACACGAUGCUCUGCGGGCUGCGGACAGUAGCAAAUUACCGUGUGGUGAGACCAACAGCUGAUAAGGCAAAUGACUAAAUACAGAAUGCCACUGUGAUUGAGGCCACGGAAAAGCAGUAAACCGGGAUUUGUGAAUUCAAAUGGAACGCCUAGGGCUUUCGCCCGAUUCUCGGUACCAGGUCGGUGCUGGCGCCGACAGAAAGGAAAUGCAGGGACAAAGAGGGGAGCAGAGACUGAAGGAAAGGCCAUCCAGAGACUGCCCCAUUUGGGGAUCCAUCUCAUCUGCAGACACAAAACCCAGACAACAUUGCUGAUGCUGAGGAAUGCUUGCUGGUUCCUGUAGAGAGCGUUCUGGGUUUGGACCACAUGGAUCAAGUGAUGGAGGAAGAGAAGGGAACGUCACACGGAUCAACCUCCCUGUUAUCGCACUCCAAUGUCUUGCAGCCUCGAGCCUACCUGUUUAUAAGGAGAUAGAAAGGUGCAGAACAAGUCCAGGAAGAUGGCCGUGUACCCGCAUACAGAGGCUGAGCCCAGGGGAGGGUGUCCGUGACUGUUCCUGAGUGUGUCAGAGAUGGACUCACAGAAUACUUGAGGUGAGCAAGAGGAACUGACCGAUGGAGAAGGUGCAUGAUAUAACUCCAGAUAGCAGGGCGGACAGCAUGUGCGGAAGCAGGAGGCUUCGGGAGAUAAUUGGGAAAACGUUUUAAAGAAACCAUUGAAAAAUUACUGAACUCUUUGGCAUCCCCAAAGCACUCAAUUAUUCAGAAGUCUGUUCCUCACCACCAUUUCUGCUCCAAAACCAAGUGCCUGCUCUAACCUCCGUCCUUUACUGAGAUGAUGUGACAUCUGUAGUAUUCGAAGAAGUCACAGCAGAAGGAAAAAGCUGUGGAAUCGAAUCAUACAUCAUACGGGGAUGAAAAUGGUUGCCAUUGGCCGAGAGAAACAGGAAAUCAUCGUCUGUGAGGAAGCCAGACCGUUUCAACCACAGACAGCAGAAAGGUUCUGAAGGAGGUUUUCUGAACCGGGUUUGCCUUGUGCGGAAGAUUUCAAAGCGUUUCCAUCAGCCUCGUUCUGGCGAGGUGGAGAAAAGAACGAAUGUUUGAAAAGGAAAACACUUCGGUCAACCAGGCAGGAAGAAAAUGAGUAGCUGGUGAGGGAAUGCAUGAUGCGGCCAUAGCAGGGGGCGCUCUUGGUCACGGGGAAAUAAGCAGGUAGCACAGAGAGAGUCAGCGGAGAGCUGGGUGAGAUGGGAGCUAGGGCACAGAAAGACUGUUCAGGCAGCCGAGCUUGGAGACAAGGAGCCAGACAUAAUGCUAUGGUCUUUCAGCUCAGAAAAUGCUGAAGGUGGCUUGGAUGAGAUAUCGGGGAAAGGAAGUGAAGUUGCGGAAAAGUCAUUUGUUUCUGUCUUACGUUUCUCUUCUUCUAAAUUUUCAUGCCAUUUUAGUUUUGUGCAAAAAUUCAAACCAAACCGAAACAAACAAAUAAACUGCCCCCUCCCUUCCCCAAAUGCCA